rnacentral:rRNA from 1 species
CCCUUAGAUGUUCUGGGACGCACGCGCGCUACACUGAUGCAUUCAACGAGUUUCUUCCUGGUCCGAGAGGAAUGGGUAACCUUUUGAAAGUGCAUCGUGAUAGGGAUAGACUAUUGCAAUUAUUGGUCUUCAACGAGGAAUUCCUAGUAGACGUAGUUCAUCAGACUGCAUCGAUUACGUCCCUGCCCUUUGUACACACCGCCCGUCGCUCCUACCGAUUGAAUGCUCAGGUGAGCCAUUCGGACUUUCAUCAUGCUGGUUUCCAGUUUUGAUGAAGGAAAGUCUUGCGAACCUUAUCAUUUAGAGGAAGGAGAAGUCGUAACA